rnacentral:rRNA from 1 species
GGCGGCGUGCCUAACACAUGCAAGUCGUACGAGAAAGUUGGCUUCGGCCGAUGAGUAAAGUGGCGCACGGGUGAGUAAUGCGUGGAUAAUCUGCCCUUUAGUUGGGAAUAACGUACCGAAAGGUGCGCUAAUACCUGAUAAUACUGCAUAACUACUGUUGUGUAGUCAAAGAAGGCCUCUGUUUACAAGCUUUUGCUGAAGGAUGAGUCCGCGUACCAUUAGCUGGUUGGUGGGGUAAUGGCCUACCAAGGCUACGAUGGUUAGCUGGUCUGAGAGGAUGAUCAGCCACACUGGAACUGAGACACGGUCCAGACUCCUACGGGAGGCAGCAGUGAGGAAUAUUGCGCAAUGGGGGCAACCCUGACGCAGCAACGCCGCGUGAGUGAGGAAGGUUUUCGGACCGUAAAGCUCUGUCGAGCGGGAAGAAAUGUAUCAUGGCUAAUAUCCAUGAUACUUGACGGUACCGCUAAAGGAAGCACCGGCUAACUCCGUG